rnacentral:rRNA from 1 species
UACAGAGGUCUCGAGCGUUGUUCGGAUUCAUUGGGCGUAAAGGGUGCGUAGGUGGCGCUGUAAGUCGGGUGUGAAAUCCUGAGGCUUAACCUCGGAACUGCAUUCGAUACUGCGGCGCUUGAGGACUGGAGAGGAGACUGGAAUUCAUGGUGUAGCAGUGAAAUGCGUAGAUAUGCGGAGGAACACCGAUGGCGAAGGCAGUCCCCUGGGCCUGUACUGACGCUCAUGCACGAAAGCGUGGGGAGCAAACAGG